AUUGAACGCUGGCGGCAGGCCUAACACAUGCAAGUCGAACGGUAACAGGAAGCAGCUUGCUGCUUUGCUGACGAGUGGCGGACGGGUGAGUAAUGUCUGGGAAACUGCCCGAUGGAGGGGGAUAACUACUGGAAACGGUAGCUAAUACCGCAUAACGUCGCAGGACCAAAGAGGGGGACCUUAGGGCCUCUUGCCAUCGGAUGUGCCCAGAUGGGAUUAGCUAGUAGGUGGGGUAACGGCUCACCUAGGCGACGAUCCCUAGCUGGUCUGAGAGGAUGACCAGCCACACUGGAACUGAGACACGGUCCAGACUCCUACGGGAGGCAGCAGUGGGGAAUAUUGCACAAUGGGCGCAAGCCUGAUGCAGCCAUGCCGCGUGUAUGAAGAAGGCCUUCGGGUUGUAAAGUACUUUCAGCGGGGAGGAAGGGAGUAAAGUUAAUACCUUUGCUCAUUGACGUUACCCGCAGAAGAAGCACCGGCUAACUCCGUG
rnacentral:rRNA from 1 species